rnacentral:rRNA from 1 species
UUCUUACUCUGGAUGGAGCUGUAUAGCAGUGGGGAUCGAACAGGAUUAGAUACCUGGUAGUCCAUGCUGUAAACGGUGGGCGCUAGUGUGGGGUGGCAUUGGUUCACUCUGUUCCGUAUCUAACGCAUUAAGCGCCCCGCCUGGUGGAGUACGGCCGCAAGGCUAAAACUCAAAGGAAUUGACGGGGUCCCGCACAAGCGUCGGAGCAUGCGGAUUAAUUCGAUGCAACGCGAAGAACCUUACCUGGGUUUGACAUCACCCAGAAAGCUCCAGAGAUGGGGCCCUCUUCGGACUGGGUGACAGGUGGUGCAUGGCUGUCGUCAGCUCGUGUCGUGAGAUGUUGGGUUAAGUCCCGCAACGAGCGCAACCCUUAUCCCGUGUUGCCAGCAAGUAGUGUUGGGGACUCGCGGGAGACUGCCGGGGUUAACUCGGAGGAAGGUGGGGAUGAGGUCAAGUCAUCAUGCCCCUUAUGUCCAGGGCUUCACGCAUGCUACAUUGGCCGGUACAGCGGGUUGCGAUACCGUGAGGUGGAGCGAAUCUCUGUAAAGCCAGUCUUGGUUCGGAUUCGAGUCUGCACUCGCUCGC